GCGGACAAGAAGCUGAGAGGACACACAGUCAGGACAGCUGACCCAAACUGGCCAGAGGGAUAUUCCAUACCAUAUGAUGUCAUGGUUAGUAUAUAACUUGGGAGACGCUGGCUCGGAGGCUUGACCACAGCUCAGGAACUAGCUGGGCAUCGGCCAGUGGAGGUUUCUCAGCCUGAAAAGAAUGGCUUGGACCUUCAAGUUGAUCGUUUGCAUUUGCAGCAAAAAACCAAGGGAUGUAAAUGAAGUGCAGAAAGAGCCACAUGAGUGCCACUUACUCCUGUACUUCUCCUUCUACAGCAUGAGGCAUUUUGCUAGGUAUAUUUCAACACAACAAGUAUCUCAAGAGACUGAAAACACACAUCAUCAUCAUCUUGCUCUGUGAUUCCAACUACCUUCCUCUUGGUUCUGCAGGGGUGAAUGGAUGACAUUUCCACCAUUUUUCCCCAUGGAAAGAAGACAAGACACAUUAGAAGUCUAAGGACAUUACAAGCAAGCUGUAAGCUGAGGAGUGUGUAUAAAAAUGAGUCAGAGGAUCGUUACACAUGGAAGAUCUACAUUCCUUCUUGACCAUCACCCCAGUGUCACAUGCCUUGCUGCUGAAAGACAAACGACCAGCAGAACAGAGCUGGAACUGCAGAAAGUUGUACAUCAGGGAUGUUGAAACACAACUGUUCUCUAGCGGAUGUCUAUCUAUCCAUUUUGGCCACGAUAUAUUGGCUUGCCAAUAGCUAGCUGUCCAUCUGAAACCUUUCAUUGACUGGUUCUGUGGUGGGUUGACCCUGGCUGGAGGCCAGGUGCCCACCAGAGCCACUCUAUCACUCCCCUCCUCAGCUGGACAGGGGAGAGAAAAUAUAACGAAAGGCUCCUAGGUCAAGAUAAUGACAGGGAGAGAUCACUCAGUAAUUACCGUCACAGGCAAACAGACUCUACUCGGUGAAAAUAAUUUAAUUUAUUACCAAUCAAAUCAGAGUAGACUAAUGAGAAAUAAAAUCAAAUCUUAAAAUACCUUCCCCCCCACCCCUCCCUUCUUCUUGGGCUCAACUUCACUCCCAACUUCUCUACCUCCUCUCCUCUCAGCAGCACAGGGGGACGGGGAAUGGGGGUUGUGGUCAGUUCAUCACACAUUGUCUCUUCUGCUCCUUCCUCCUCAGGGGGAGGACUCCUCACACUCUUCCCCUGCUCCGUGGGGUCCCUCCCACGGGAGACAGUCCUCCAUGAACUUCUCCGAUGCAAGUCCUUCCCAUGGGCUGCAGUCCUUCACAAACUGCUCCAGCGUGGGUCCCCCAUGGGGGUCACAAGUCCUGCAAGCAGGACAGUGUAUAAGGUAUGGAGACAGGAAUCAAGUUUAAAACAGAAAAUUCAAGACACUUCAUGGAUUUGCUAAAUGAUAUAGGUAUCAUUAAUAUAGAUAUCCCCAGGUAAAACCUGAUUUGAGGUUCAUUAUACUAAAUCACUAAUGGCUAGAAAUUAAAAACUGUAAUGUUAGCUCAUAUUAACUUUAACGGGAAAUUCUAGUUCCCCAAAAGCUGUCCUUCUUCCUGUCUGUACACAGUAGCUUGCCUUUAUUUCAG